rnacentral:rRNA from 1 species
UCCUGGCUCAGGACGAACGCUGGCGGCGUGCCUAAUACAUGCAAGUCGAGCGAAUCUGAGGGAGCUUGCUCCCAAAGAUUAGCGGCGGACGGGUGAGUAACACGUGGGCAACCUGCCUGUAAGACUGGGAUAACUCCGGGAAACCGGGGCUAAUACCGGAUAAUAUCUAUUUAUACAUAUAAUUAGAUUGAAAGAUGGUUCUGCUAUCACUUACAGAUGGGCCCGCGGCGCAUUAGCUAGUUGGUGAGGUAACGGCUCACCAAGGCGACGAUGCGUAGCCGACCUGAGAGGGUGAUCGGCCACACUGGGACUGAGACACGGCCCAGACUCCUACGGGAGGCAGCAGUAGGGAAUCUUCCGCAAUGGACGAAAGUCUGACGGAGCAACGCCGCGUGAGUGAUGAAGGUUUUCGGAUCGUAAAACUCUGUUGUUAGGGAAGAACAAGUAUCCGGAGUAACUGCCGGUACCUUGACGGUACCAACCAGAAAGCC